rnacentral:rRNA from 1 species
AAGUCGUAACAAGGUUUCCGUAGGUGAACCUGCGGAAGGAUCAUUAGUAGAGACAGUGGGGCAAAAGCCCCCCGAUGCUCAACCCCCUGCGUACUGUACCUGGACCAUACCGACAGGUUUAAAUUCUGGCGCGCGUCUGAAAAAACGGCGCAUUUGAAAAGCGAAAAAACUUUCAACAACGGAUCUCUUGGUUCCGGCAUCGAUGAAGAACGCAGCAAAAUGCGAUAAGUAGUGUGAAUUGCAGAAUUCAGUGAACCAUCGAGCCUUUGAACGCACAUUGCGCCCCCCGGUAGCCCGGGGGGCAUGCCUGGCCGAGCGUCAUGCAGAUACCCUCAAGCCCUCGCUUGGUGUUGGGUCGGCCGUCCGCGCAUAUAGCGGAUGUCCCCAAAAUCUGCCUGGCGGUGGCGUCGGACGUCCAGGUGCGCAAAUCCGACGAUAUGCCCUGGAGCGUCCGGUUGCCAUCUGCCCCCAGCGAAACCCUUUGCGCCCGAGCGCGCCAACGGUUUGACCUCGGUUCAAGCAGGAAUACCCGCUGAACUUAA